UACAGAGGUCCCAAGCGUUGUUCGGAUUCACUGGGCGUAAAGGGUGCGUAGGCGGCCGGGUAAGUCUGAUGUGAAAUCCCGCAGCUUAACUGCGGAACUGCAUCGGAUACUCUCCGGCUAGAGUUCGGUAGGGGAGACUGGAAUUCCUGGUGUAGCGGUGAAAUGCGCAGAUAUCAGGAGGAACACCGGUGGCGAAGGCGGGUCUCUGGGCCGAUACUGACGCUGAGGAGCGAAAGCGUGGGGAGCGAACAGG
rnacentral:rRNA from 1 species